AUUGAACGCCGGCGGCAGGCUUAACACAUGCAAGUCGAGCGGGGGAAGGUAGCUUGCUACCGGACCUAGCGGCGGACGGGUGAGUAAUGCUUAGGAAUCUGCCUAUUAGUGGGGGACAACAUCUCGAAAGGGAUGCUAAUACCGCAUACGUCCUACGGGAGAAAGCAGGGGAUCUUCGGACCUUGCGCUAAUAGAUGAGCCUAAGUCGGAUUAGCUAGUUGGUGGGGUAAGGGCCUACCAAGGCGACGAUCUGUAGCGGGUCUGAGAGGAUGAUCCGCCACACUGGGACUGAGACACGGCCCAGACUCCUACGGGAGGCAGCAGUGGGGAAUAUUGGACAAUGGGGGGAACCCUGAUCUAGCCAUGCCGCGUGUGUGAAGAAGGCCUUAUGGUUGUAAAGCACUUUAAGCGAGGAGGAGGCUACUUUAGUUAAUACCUAGAGAUAGUGGACGUUACUCGCAGAAUAAGCACCGGCUAACUCUGUGCCAGCCGCCGCGGUAA
rnacentral:rRNA from 1 species